CGAGUUAUCUGAACCUUCGGGGAACGAUARCGGCGUCGAGCGGCGGACGGGUGAGUAAUGCCUAGGAAAUUGCCCUGAUGUGGGGGAUAACCAUUGGAAACGAUGGCUAAUACCGCAUGAUGCCUACGGGCCAAAGAGGGGGACCUUCGGGCCUCUCGCGUCAGGAUAUGCCUAGGUGGGAUUAGCUAGUUGGUGAGGUAAGGGCUCACCAAGGCGACGAUCCCUAGCUGGUCUGAGAGGAUGAUCAGCCACACUGGAACUGAGACACGGUCCAGACUCCUACGGGAGGCAGCAGUGGGGAAUAUUGCACAAUGGGCGCAAGCCUGAUGCAGCCAUGCCGCGUGUGUGAAGAAGGCCUUCGGGUUGUAAAGCACUUUCAGUCGUGAGGAAGGUAGUGUAGUUAAUAGCUGCAUUAUUUGACGUUAGCGACAGAAGAAGCACCGGCUAACUCCGUGCCAGCAGCCGCGGUAAUACGGAGGGUGCGAGCGUUAAUCGGAAUUACUGGGCGUAAAGCGCAUGCAGGUGGUUUGUUAAGUCAGAUGUGAAAGCCCGGGGCUCAACCUCGGAAUUGCAUUUGAAACUGGCAGACUAGAGUACUGUAGAGGGGGGUAGAAUUUCAGGUGUAGCGGUGAAAUGCGUAGAGAUCUGAAGGAAUACCGGUGGCGAAGGCGGCCCCCUGGACAGAUACUGACACUCAGAUGCGAAAGCGUGGGGAGCAAACAGGAUUAGAUACCCUGGUAGUCCACGCCGUAAACGAUGUCUACUUGGAGGUUGUGGCCUUGAGCCGUGGCUUUCGGAGCUAACGCGUUAAGUAGACCGCCUGGGGAGUACGGUCGCAAGAUUAAAACUCAAAUGAAUUGACGGGGGCCCGCACAAGCGGUGGAGCAUGUGGUUUAAUUCGAUGCAACGCGAAGAACCUUACCUACUCUUGACAUCCAGAGAACUUUCCAGAGAUGGAUUGGUGCCUUCGGGAACUCUGAGACAGGUGCUGCAUGGCUGUCGUCAGCUCGUGUUGUGAAAUGUUGGGUUAAGUCCCGCAACGAGCGCAACCCUUAUCCUUGUUUGCCAGCGAGUAAUGUCGGGAACUCCAGGGAGACUGCCGGUGAUAAACCGGAGGAAGGUGGGGACGACGUCAAGUCAUCAUGGCCCUUACGAGUAGGGCUACACACGUGCUACAAUGGCGCAUACAGAGGGCRGCCAACUUGCGAAAGUGAGCGAAUCCCAAAAAGUGCGUCGUAGUCCGGAUUGGAGUCUGCAACUCGACUCCAUGAAGUCGGAAUCGCUAGUAAUCGUGG
rnacentral:rRNA from 1 species